ACGCUCGACACCUACGGAGGCAGCAGUGGGGAAUAUUGCACAAUGGGGGAAACCCUGAUGCAGCGACGCCGCGUGGAGGAAGAAGGUCUUCGGAUUGUAAACUCCUGUUGUUGGGGAAAAAGAGGAUGGUACCCAACAAGGAAGUGACGGCUAGCUACGUGCCAUCAGCCGCGGUAAUCUGAGCGGGCUGGCAAGGC
rnacentral:rRNA from 1 species